rnacentral:rRNA from 1 species
AUUGAACGCUGGCGGCAGGCCUAACACAUGCAAGUCGAGCGGAUGAAGGGAGCUUGCUCCUGGAUUCAGCGGCGGACGGGUGAGUAAUGCCUAGGAAUCUGCCUGGUAGUGGGGGAUAACGUCCGGAAACGGGCGCUAAUACCGCAUACGUCCCGAGGGAGAAAGUGGGGGAUCUUCGGACCUCCCGCUAUCAGAUGAGCCUAGGUCGGAUUAGCUAGUUGGUGGGGUAAAGGCCUACCAAGGCGACGAUCCGUAACUGGUCUGAGAGGAUGAUCAGUCAGACUGGAACUGAGACACGGCCCAGACUCCUACGGGAGGCAGCAGUGGGGAAUAUUGGACAAUGGGCGAAAGCCUGAUCCAGCCAUGCCGCGUGUGUGAAGAAGGUCUUCGGAUUGUAAAGCACUUUAAGUUGGGAGGUAGGGCAGUAAGUUAAUACCUUGCUGUUUUGACGUUACCAACAGAAUAAGCACCGGCUAACUUCGUG